rnacentral:tRNA from 1 species
AAGUAAAAGUGUUUUCACACGACAUUUUUUCGUAAUGUAGAAUAUAGGAAAUCUUUAUCUU